rnacentral:lncRNA from 13 species
GGAUUAGCAUAAUUCAGAUUAAAGCAGUAGAAUAAACCUUGAGAAAUAUUUCAAGAGGAAAUAAUUUUGUUACCAAGUCAUGUUUUCUGAAACAGAAAUGUUUCUUUCAGAUCAGUUUCUGAGCACCUGCUGGAAGUGCUGCUGUUUCUGGACCCCAGUGUCCUGGUGUAGCCCUGCUCAGCCUCCCACUGGCCCUUCAGAGCUGGCAUGGAUUCAGGCAAGCAGCCUCCAGGGAAGUUCAACAGUCGUACAACAAACCAGACAUUUUUGUGGGUUACAAGGUUACAAGUUGGGUGCCGCGUGUUGACAGCACAUGGAUCUCACGUCUGCUUCCUGGCCAAAACAGCAAAGGUCAGCAUGGAAAUUUCAGCUUCUUAUUAAAAAAAUCCAACAGAUCUCUAGUUCCAAAUCUCUUUUUAAUGAUGUUGGCUCUACAAUGUUUUUAUCAAAUCAUGUCUGAUAAGUAGCACUGCCCUGAGCUGAUGUGUUCAUUAUAUUUUUAAAGACACUAAAUUUGUCCUAGCUCUUGAAUAGGAAAGAUACAAGGCAACCUGACAGCCUAUAACUUCUCUCUCUGAAGCCACCAGAACAGAGAAUAGUAGCCCCAGAAAUGGGAUCCUGGACAAAAUCCCUCCUGACACUGCUGCAGGGAUGGAGAACUUUGAUUUUUAAAGCGGGAAACAUCUAACAGACCUUACUCUUGGUAAGGAAAUUUUGUGCAAGCAAAAUUGCUGAAACAUCUCUUCCUCAGGAUUAAAUUUUAUGCUAUUGAUUUUGCAGAGCUACUUAGCACACACUGUUCUGGCUCCUGUACUUUCCAUGUCCACACAAUGGUAGCAUGGCCAGCUGGACAGUGCCAACUCUGACACAGGAAAGGCACUCACUGCAGUUAAGCAAGCCUCAAACAGACUUCCCUCUCCUAGGUUAUCAAAAAAUGCAUCCACUGACUGAAUAAAGGGGAAAAACCUUACAGUCAAAACUCGGUGCCUGCAGUUGUGCUGAUUCUUUAGUUGUUCAUUUGUACUGUAACACAGCCAGCGUCUGCCCAAGGCUAGGCAAAGAGCAAAGCGCUCACUCCUGAUUGUCGUAUGCAGCCCCUGCAAAUAGGGGUGGGAAUACUGAGGUAGGCAAUCAUUAGGAUUGUGCAAGAUGGAGAUAAGGCAGUGAGCAACCUCUUCCCAAAACAGAGCACAAAAUAACAGCUUUUAGUAGAAAUGUGGAGGAUAUACCUUUUUCUUUCGGCAGGCUUGUCCUCAUGCUAAAAAUUCAGCAGGAUUCUGUUUCACUUCUUCUCUCCAGCAUUCUGUCGUGCUGACUGCCAGGCUUGUAAAAGUGUUGGUAAAUAAUGAGUUCCUUUGCUGGGUAAGUGUUUGAGUGUACUGAGGCCAUGCAGCCUUUGCAGGUUGAUGCAGACAUGAUGGUUAGAAGGGACUUUUGUAGGCUGCCCCCAGCAAGCUGACGAGGGGGACUGUCAGGAGGAGAUAAUCCCACAGUCUAACAGCAUUCUGUCCCUGCCUAGUUGGUGUGUAAACACAGGUUUCCUACUACUUAACUUCCACAGGGCUGUCAGGUUCUCAGCUUUUGGGCUGAUGACCAAGAGCUGUGAUCUCCAAGACUAGAUCUGGAAAAAGGACUUCCUGCUGUCCCUUCCAGGUUCCCUUCUCUGCCAUUACCUGAAUUGGCUUAAAGCAUAUUUUAAAGAGAAAAAAAUAAUUACCUGAGACCUCUGUCUUCAAAAAGGAACUCCCAAACCAGUUACCUUCAAAAUAUACAUUUCUGGGCAUCUUUUAAAGCCCAAUUCUGAUCUCUGCUGAGAUUAUCUCUGUAUAAGUCUUAGGACCUGAAGACUGUGAUUAAAUCCACACAAUAGGAUUCUCCACAUGGAAUUCUCUAUCCUUCUAUAAAUAUAAGCAUGGAUUCCAAAACCGGUUUUUUCUUUUUCAGCUCCCUAAGAUUUAUUCAGUUUUUGUGAGAAAUUUGGUGCGUUUUGCUUUUUUUUUUAUCUAAACCAUUGUUGGAGCUGAUUGUCAUUGAUUGCUUUGGAAAAUGAUUUAAUUGCUAGGAAACCCUGCCACCAUUUUGCCAAAGCAUAAACAGGCCCUUGGGCUCUUCUAGAAUAAAAGGUUAGAGCAGUCAUCCUGGAAAACUAUGCAGGCAAAUAGAUUUUAGCUCUUGUCAGGCAAAACCAACAGAGAUCUGUGUGAGGUCGAAUCUCUGUAGGGAGUGGACUUAUCUGAAGGCUUACAUUUUGUUUUAUUGCACCAUUAUUUUUAGCUUUCUCUUGUUACCUUCAAGGGAGACACCAGCAAUGUCAACUUCCCCAGUGUUGGAUAGUUCACAUAGUAUAGAAAAUCAGCAGAAGGAAAUCCUUACAGAGCAGUUAGGAACUGUCUGGAGCCCAUGAAAUUGGAUAAGAAAUAUACACCAGGAUUCAAGUUUGUUGUACAAGUUGGCUAAAUACCUUCCUUAUUUUAUUUUAGUGUGUGCCAUUUCUCCAGACUUUGAUGAGAGCCUAAUGGAGGAAGCACAAAGAAGUAUAUAGAAAAAUGGUGCUCCUUAACCUCUGCUUUUUAUCCUAAUUAUAAUGUUCUUACAGUAAUAUUCUGGUGAUUAUAC